GAUGAACGCUGGCGGCGUGCCUAAUACAUGCAAGUCGAGCGAACAGACGAGGAGCUUGCUCCUCUGACGUUAGCGGCGGACGGGUGAGUAACACGUGGAUAACCUACCUAUAAGACUGGGAUAACUUCGGGAAACCGGAGCUAAUACCGGAUAAUAUAUUGAACCGCAUUGUUCAAUAGUGAAAGACGGUUUUGCUGUCACUUAUAGAUUGAUCAGCGCCGCAUUAGCUAGUUGGUAAGGUAACGGCUUACCAAGGCAACGAUGCGUAGCCGACCUGAGAGGGUGAUCGGCCACCCUGGAACUGAGACAGGGUCCAGACUCCUACGCGAGGCCGCAGUAGGGACUCUUACGCAAUGGGCGAAAGCCUGACGGAGCAACGCCGCGUGAGUGAUGAAGGUCUUCGGAUCGUAAAACUCUGUUAUUAGGGAAGAACAAAUGUUUAAGUAACUAUGCACGUAUUGACGGUACCUAAUCAGAAAGCCACGGCUAACUACGUG
rnacentral:rRNA from 1 species